CAGGUGCACAACUAGCAUCAAAACACCGGUCUAAAAAGUUAUGGCUAACGAACAGGUAUCGAACAGUCGAUUGCUUACACAUCGUACAGAUGAGGAACAACAUUGUCACCCACCCUGAAGUCGUGUUUCUGACGAAUGUGGUGCAGACUGAUAAGGAACAUCCCCCCACCUGUGAUGAAUCUGCUACACUUGACUGAACAAAAGCGGUCCGUGUCAUCUUUCCAAACGCGCGACCAGGAUCAUGAAUGUGAGCCACCAGCUGGCACGUGCACAACCACACAGUCACAUGCACGAAAAAAACAAAAGGCAGCGGAGGAGAGGCGAAGGUGGAGAAUCUGAGCCCUGAGAGGUGCCGAAAAGAGGAAAUAAGAGCAGGAGAGAGAGAACGGCACGCACAGCUUGGCAUUUAAACAGAGGAUUUCCUCUGUACCUCGUCUUCCCUCCGCUCUCUCUGUUUACAUAA